UAGGGAAUCUUCGGCAAUGGGGGGAACCCUGACCGAGCAACGCCGCGUGAGUGAAGAAGGUUUUCGGAUCGUAAAGCUCUGUUGUAAAGGAAGAACGAGUGUGAGAAUGGAAAGUUCAUGCUGUGACGGUACUUAACGAGAAAGGGACGGCUAACUACGUGCCAGCAGCCGCGGUAAUACGAAGGUCCCGAGCGUUGUCCGGAUUUAUUGGGCGUAAAGCGAGCGCAGGCGGUUAGAAAAGUCUGAAGUGAAAGGCAGUGGCUCAACCAUUGUAGGCUUUGGAAACUGUUUAACUUGAGUGCAGAAGGGGAGAGUGGAAUUCCAUGUGUAGCGGUGAAAUGCGUAGAUAUAUGGAGGAACACCGGUGGCGAAAGCGGCUCUCUGGUCUGUAACUGACGCUGAGGCUCGAAAGCGUGGGGAGCGAACAGG
rnacentral:rRNA from 1 species